AUUGCAUCAUUUUUUAUGCAAUCAAUAGCAUUUUUUGUUUAUUGGUUUUGAUGUUAUCGAGAUGCAUUUUUAUCUAGAUCCAUAAUACUUUUAAUGUCACAAAAUGCAAUGAAAUUGUAGCAACAUCAGGUGCAUCAAAUAUCUCAAGUGGGAGUACCUCAUCAAUACAUGGUUGUUUUAGUGAAGGUGACAUCAUUGAAUCAGAAAAUUUCUUGAAUUCAAUUUUAAUCCAAAAGGAAAUGAAUUGUUCAGUCACAGAGGUACUUAGAGAGAAUAUUUGUAGGAAUCCUGAUUGGUUAACAUUCGUUGGUGAAGAUUCUUUUGUAACUUUCCAUGUCCCUCAAGUGAAUGGGUGGAAGUUAAAGACAAUGUUGUUAUGAAUAGUCUAUUCUUCUUCCCCAAACAAUGUACCAUCACAAGGCCCUAUUGUCGAAAAUCUGUUUAUCAUAAAUCACACGAAGACCAUCUCUUAUGUCUACGAUGGAGAUACACUGGCUUCACUUAGAGAUGAGGAAUGGCAGAAAGUAAUAUCAAACCUUGAAGCUGGUGACAAAGUGCAGAUUGUUGUUGCUGGGUUAGGAUUCACAAUGAAGAAGACCAGUUUAUCUCAUAUAUGCUUAACAAGUUGACCAAACCAGAGAGCAACAAGGUGAAGGUAUUGUUUCUGGUGAUAAUAUGGUAGCAGAUGCAAAUUUCACUGUUCAUGGUGGAGAUGAAAAAGAAUGAAAGUGACGAUAUCAAGAACAUUGUUGAACAUGUUACUCAUAUGCUAGACAUGAAGGAACUGUUUGUUGAAUGACAAAGAAUCCAUUGAAAUUUUUAGCUGGCAUGCAUUCAAAGAACCAUGUCUGAAAGAAGAGUUUGCUUUAUUUGCUAAGGAAGUUGUUUCAUAUUGUGAGAGAUUGCCACUGGCUCUUGAGGUGAUUGGGUCCCAUUUGUUUAUUAGGAAAGUAUAUGAAUGGAGGAGUGUUUUGAAGAAACUCAACUAUUCCAAACAACGAUGUACAGAAGAAGCUUAAUUAAGAUAAGUUUUGAUGGUCUAAGUGAUGAUAGGUAUAGAGAAAUAUUUCUUGAUGCAGCAUUUUUCUUUAUUGGAAUGGACACAAAUGAUGUAAUUAAUAUACUAAAUGGUUGUGGGCAUUUUGCUGAAAUUGAAAUAAAUGUUCUUAUGAAAAGAUGCCUUAUUACUGUGAACACUAAGAGGAAACUUGGCAUGCAUGGUUUGCUGCGAGACAUGGGAAGAGAAAUUAUUCGCAAGAGUUUGCCAACAAAACCUAAG